GGGCGGUCGGGGCGGCUCGGUCGGCGGCGCCGGGAAUCCCUGGCCCUGCGCCCGCCCGUCUAGGGGGCUCCGGCCGCUGAGACCCGCGCUGCCCCAGACCCUUGGGGACCUCGAGUCCCGGGAGAGUCACCUGGAGAAGCUGGUGGAUCACCCAAGGCCCAGCCCUGUCCCACUUCACUGAACCUGGCCCCCGGGUGCUCUUUCACUUCAGCAGGUGCUUCUGGGGCCACUCAGGUUGGGCAGCUCAAGCCUUAACUCAGGCAAAGCACCCCGUGACGGGAACCCAAACUACAGCCUCAGGUGGUAAGGACUGCGGGCGAGACCCCGCGGGACCGACCCCAAGACACCGCUGCACCUCACCUUCGAGGCCCGCCUGCACGUGCUGACUUUGCCACUUUUCCUGCCAUAAACCUGGGAGUCUUUCCAGCACUCCGGAGACAGGCCUUGGGACACCUGUCUGCUGUCUUCCCAGCGUCGGCCUCCUUGAAAUAAAUCCCUUUCUUUUUUCA
rnacentral:lncRNA from 1 species